rnacentral:rRNA from 1 species
UACGUAGGGGGCAAGCGUUGUCCGGAUUUAUUGGGCGUAAAGAGCGUGUAGGCGGCCAGACAGGUCCGUUGUGAAAACUCGAGGCUCAACCUCGAGACGCCGAUGGAAACCGUCUGGCUAGAGUCCGGAAGAGGAGAGUGGAAUUCCUGGUGUAGCGGUGAAAUGCGCAGAUAUCAGGAGGAACACCCGUGGCGAAAGCGGCUCUCUGGGACGGUACUGACGCUGAGACGCGAAAGCGUGGGGAGCGAUCCGG